AACUCUUAGCGUGGGAUCACUCGGCUCGUGCGUCGAUGAAGAACGCAGCUAGCUGCGAGAACUAGAUGUGAAUUGCAGGACACAUGAUCAUUGAACUUCGAACGCACUUUGCGGCCCACAGGUUCUCUGGGGCUACGCCUGUCCUGAGGGUCG
rnacentral:rRNA from 1 species